rnacentral:rRNA from 1 species
CCUACGGGGGGCAGCAGUAGGGAAUAUUGCUCAAUGGGGGAAACCCUGAAGCAGCAACGCCGCGUGGAGGAUGAAGGUUUUCGGAUUGUAAACUCCUUUUGUUAGAGAAGAUAAUGACGGUAUCUAACGAAUAAGCACCGGCUAACUCCGUGCCAGCAGCCGUGGUAAUACGGAGGGUGCAAGCGUUAAUCGGAAUAACUGGGCGGAAAGAGGGGGUAGGCGGUUUAGCAAGUGAGAUGUGAAAUCCAAGGGCUUAACCAUAGAACGGCAUUUGAAAAUGUUAUUCUAGAGUAUGGGAGAGGUAGGUGGAAUUCUUGGUGUAGGGGUAAAAUCCGUAGAGAUCAAGAGGAAUACUCAUUGCGAAGGCGACCUGCUAGAACAUAACUGACGCUGAUGCGCGAAAGCGUGGGGAGCAAACAGGAUUAGAUACCCUUGUAGUC